rnacentral:rRNA from 1 species
AACGAACGCUGGCGGCAGGCUUAACACAUGCAAGUCGAACGCUCGUGGCAACACGGGAGUGGCGGACGGGUGAGUAACGCGUGGGAACGUGCCCUGAGGUACGGAAUAACCGAGGGAAACUUCGGCUAAUACCGUAUGAGCCCCUAACGGGGGAAAGAUUUAUCGCCUUAGGAGCGGCCCGCGUCGGAUUAGCUAGUUGGUGGGGUAACGGCCUACCAAGGCUUCGAUCCGUAGCUGGUCUGAGAGGACGAUCAGCCACACUGGGACUGAGACACGGCCCAGACUCCUACGGGAGGCAGCAGUGGGGAAUAUUGGACAAUGGGCGAAAGCCUGAUCCAGCCAUGCCGCGUGAGUGAUGAAGGCCUUAGGGUUGUAAAGCUCUUUCGCCAGGGAAGAUAAUGACGGUACCUGGAAAAGAAGCCUCGGCUAACUCCGUGCCAGCCGCCGCAGUAAGAC